CUGCCUCUCGCGCUCCUAAGCCAGGCCCUGGGGCCUUGCCCUCCAAGGGCCUCGCACGCCGGAAUCGCCGGGCACUCUGGGAAGGGUCAGGCUCCGGCGGGAAGGCGGAGCCGUUGGGGAGCUUGAGGGGAAGCGUGGUCUCUCCCGGAAAAACCACUUCCACCGAGAACGCUGAGCGAGAGCCAGCACCUGGAUGGAGCACCUAAGGGAAGUGUUCAGAAAGACAUGUUUGUUGAGAGUUCUUACCGUGAAAAAAUAAAAAGAUUUGAUGACUUUUCUAAGAUAAUGAAUUCAGAAGCAUCUGGAGGUUUCAGUGUUUGGCCUCUGAAGGAGGGCUUAUAGGGCUUUUUAUAAGUCCUAAAGCACGUAGGUUCUUUUUGUUAUUCCCAAUUGGUUGCCUUGUAGAUUCCUACUAAAACCCUUAAUGAAAAGGACUAUGCGCUAUGGUUGUUCUAAAGAAAUAGAAGUAAUAGUAGGACUAGAGAAAGCUGCAUGGGACAGAGUAGCACUGUCAGAACACAGAAAGGUGAGUAUCCACUGCUGAGGAGCAGAUCUCUUAUCUAACAUACGAAAUGUCUUCAUUUGACAGACAGGAAGCUGAAAAAAAACUUUGGCAUUUUUAUUCAGACACGUAUAAAAACAAAACAAAAAACUUCAGUGAUACAACAGACGUUUUCCCUUAGUUCCCCAUCCAAGGGGACAGAGGUGUGCAGCUGAAGCUGGAUCUUUUUUCUGUCCUACCUGGAAGCUUCUCACUGCUGGAUGAGAAUGGCUUCUAAAAGUGGAUCUUGGGGAUCCUUGUGAAUUUGCCCUCGGAUAAGGAGUGAAGAUCAUUUACGGCACAUGUGGAUUAUGGUUUACACAAAGAUGUCCAGUUAUUUUUCCUUCUGACUACCCCC
rnacentral:lncRNA from 1 species